UGGUCAAUGGCUCAAUAGUAGAACAUUUGCUUUGUAUGCAGAAGAUUCCAGUUUCAAUCCCUGUGUUACCCAG
rnacentral:tRNA from 1 species